ensembl:lncRNA
AUUUACCCCUAUGACAAAUUUAAAGUACAUUUGAUUUUUAAAAAUAACUAUAUGUAUUAUACAUAAGUAAAGUAAGUGAUUCAAAGGAAUUUUAAGACUGUUUUCAAAAAGAGAAAGUGAAAGAUGGUUAUAAAUAGAACUUGCUAUCUAUUACUGGUUAAUGUUUAAAUGAAUAGGCCUGACUUUCAUAAUUACUGAAGGUCUGUCUACUCAUUGGUUGGACAGUUCCGGAGAGAAACAUCUCACUGAAUCCUGAGGGAAAUACACAUUGUAAGUAAAGCAAUGCCUUAUAACAGCACUAGACAUUUUUCAAUCUGGCCCAAUACUAGGCUCACAUUCAAGUUUUCACUUUCCCCCACUUCAAGUCCAGCCACCUCUGACUAUGAGUUUUCACACCCUGACACUGUGUCUCUCUAAGCACAGAGUGUCUUCAGUGAUCAAGCUGAAAUUUACUUCCAGGCCCAACCUCAGUGUCACAUCAUCUAUGUGGUGGCCCUAGUCACUCACAGCAUACAUGAAGCACUCUCUUCUCCAUGCUGCCUGGUACUCCUGUGGCACUUGUACUAUGGGGAUAUGUAUUGCUCUGUGUGACUUCUUUGGCUUCAGAACUGCAUGAAGACAAGGACUGGCAUGUGAGGCGAAGAUGAGAACAAAGCCUCCAUAAUGCACCCUGCUGACGAUCCCUGACUUAAAUGGUUCAGUGUUUAUGAUGCUGAGAAAGAGGUUCACAUUCAGUAGCAAACAGACUUCCAGUUUUGAAUUUUGAUCUUUUCUCACAUAAGAAAUACUCAGCAAGAUACUGCCUUUGGAUGUUAAGCAAUCAGCCACUCAACUUCAAGCAUAGAGAGCUGAUACUGUGUACCAUGUUCUUCAACUAUGAUGCUCAGUAGGUUUGGGUGAUUAAAUGCUUUUUCUGUGUAUGAUAUUUUCAAUUUAAGAUUGAUUAAUCAGAACUUAAAGAACAUCUGUAUUUCAAAAGGUUUAUCUGCUAAAAUAUGUUUUUGUAGGGAUGCAAUUAAGCUUUAUUUUAUAUAUCUGCCCCAGCAAUGUCUAGCCCUUCUAGCUGCUACAGAUUUCAGGCUUAUUCUCAUGAGCAAUGUCCCCUACUCGGGAUAUUUCUUUCUCAUUCCCCUGCUCUCAAAAUCCUACAGGACCUCCUAUGUGGCAAGGUCCUACCCUCAGCAAUCAGAAAUAUAUAUUUAUGGUGGGAAGGGAAGGGGAAAGGGAAGAAGGGAAAGGAAAAAUUAGGAGAAAAGAAAAAAAAAGCAAACGAAAUCUAUGUAAAUAGGGAAGGGUGGAGGGGGUGAAGGGUGCACAGGUAAUGUGGAGAAAAAUAAGAACCAAGAUAUAUCAUGUACAGGUACAAGCACCCAGUGAUAAAUGUAAACGUAUUGUAUACCUAAAAUAUACCAAUAAAAGAAUUAUAAAAAAGAAAUAUAUGUUUAUAGUAAUGCUAAUAGCUUAUAAGGUAUUAUCUAUCUUGUUGGGAUUUGCUAACCAAAUGGGAAGAAAUGAGCACAUUAACUGAGAGAAUUCAACAGUUCUUUAGAGUCUGAUUCAUGG